GAUGAACGCUGGCGGCGUGCCUAAUACAUGCAAGUCGAGCGAACAGACGAGGAGCUUGCUCCUCUGACGUUAGCGGCGGACGGGUGAGUAACACGUGGAUAACCUACCUAUAAGACUGGGAUAACUUCGGGACACCGGAGCUAAUACCGGAUAAUAUAUUGAACCGCAUGGUUCAAUAGUGAAAGACGGUUUUGCUGGCACUUCUAGAUGGAUCCGCGCCGCAUUAGCUAGUUGGUAAGGUAACGGCUUACCAAGGCAACGAUGCGUAGCCGACGUGAGGGGGUGGUCGGCGACACUGGAAGUGAGGCAGGGACCAGAGUCCUACGGGAGGCAGCAGUAGGGAAGCUUCCGCAAUGGGCGAGAGCCUGACGGAGCAACGCGGCGUGAGAGAUGAAGGUGUUGGGAGCGUAAAACUGUGUUAUUAGGGAUGAACAAAUGUGUAAGUAGAUGUGGACGUCGUGACGGUACCUAAUCAGAAAGCCACGGCUAACUACGUG
rnacentral:rRNA from 1 species